AGUUCCAGGUGAUGUGACCUAUGCUGACGUCAACCACACAGAGAAGAGACAACACAACAGGAGGAGAGAGAACGUCGUUCCAGACCCUGUCUACUCAGCAAUGAAGACAGACAGACAAAGAUACAGGUAGAGCUGUAUCUGGAUCCGGGGAAGUAAUGUACAGAGAGUGACCCUGUUCAUCAGAACAUCAUGGUGGAUGGAAAAAUAUGCUCUCAGCAGCGGUGAAUAACCACAACCCUGUCAGUCCAU